rnacentral:rRNA from 2 species
CAAAUGACUCUCGGCAAUGGAUAUCUCGGCUCUUGCAUCGAUGAAGAACGUAGUGAAAUGCGAUACUUGGUGUGAAUUGCAGAAUCUCGCGAACCAUUGAGUCUUUGAACGCAAGUUGUGCCCGAGGCCUUGUGGUCGAGGGCACGCCUGCUUGGGUGUCAUGA